rnacentral:rRNA from 1 species
GAUGAACGCUAGCUACAGGCUUAACACAUGCAAGUCGAGGGACCGGCGCACGGGUGAGUAACACGUAUCCAACCUGCCCUUUACUCGGGGAUAGCCUUUCGAAAGAAAGAUUAAUACCCGAUAUAAAGGAUGGGGAUGCGUUCCAUUAGGUUGUUGUUGAGGUAACGGCUCACCAAGCCUUCGAUGGAUAGGGGUUCUGAGAGGAAGGUCCCCGACAUUGGAACUGAGACACGGUCCAAGCGGCUACGUGAGGCAGCAGUGAGGAAUAUUGGUCAAUGGGCGCGAGCCGGAACCAGCCAAGUAGCGUGAAGAAUGAAGGGGUAUGGGUCGUAAAAUUCUUUUAUAUAAGAAUAGGUAUUAUAUGAAUAAGGAACGGCUAACUCCGUGCAAGCGGCCGCGGUAAUAC